GAUAAACGCUGGCGGCGUGCCUAAAACAUGCAAGUCGAACGGGCGCCUUCGGGCGUCAGUGGCGGACGGCUGAGUAACACGUGGGUGACCUGCCCUCGAGCGGGGGAUAACUGCCCGAAA
rnacentral:rRNA from 1 species